CGAGACCUCAGGUCAGGCGG
rnacentral:rRNA from 90 species